UACGAAGGGGGCUAGCGUUGCUCGGAAUCACUGGGCGUAAAGCGCACGUAGGCGGCUUUCUAAGUCAGGGGUGAAAUCCUGGAGCUCAACUCCAGAACUGCCUUUGAUACUGGAGCUUGAGUCCGGGAGAGGUGAGUGGAACUCCGAGUGUAGAGGUGAAAUUCGAUAGAUAUUCGGAAGAACACCAGUGGCGAAGGCGGCUCACUGGCCCGGUACUGACGCUGAGGUGCGAAAGCGUGGGGAGCAAACAGG
rnacentral:rRNA from 1 species